rnacentral:rRNA from 1 species
UGAACGCUGGCGGCGUGCCUAACACAUGCAAGUCGAACGGAGAACCCGCCCUCGGGCGGUUAUGAAGUGGCGAACGGGUGAGUAACACGUGACCAACCUGCCCCGCGCUCAGGGACAGCCUCGGGAAACCGGGAUUAAUACCUGAUGCGCCCCCGCCCCCGCAUGGGGGAGGGGGGAAAGGCCCAGGCGGCGCGGGAUGGGGUCGCGGCCCAUCAGGUAGACGGCCGGGUAGAGGCCGGCCGUGCCGACGACGGGUAGCCGGGUUGAGAGACCGACCGGCCACAUUGGGACUGAGAUACGGCCCAGACUCCUACGGGAGGCAGCAGUGGGGAAUAUUGCGCAAUGGGGGGAACCCUGACGCCAGCAACGCCGCGUGCGGGACGACGGCCCUCGGGUUGUAAACCGCUUUCAGCAGGGAAGACAUCGACGGUACCUGCAGAAGAAGCCCCGGCUAACUACGUGCCAGCAGCAGC